rnacentral:rRNA from 1 species
UACGAAGGGGGCUAGCGUUGCUCGGAAUCACUGGGCGUAAAGGGCGCGUAGGCGGAUCUUUAAGUCAGGGGUGAAAGCCUGAGGCUCAACCUCAGAAUUGCCUUUGAUACUGAGGAUCUUGAGACCGGAAGAGGUUAGUGGAACUGCGAGUGUAGAGGUGAAAUUCGUAGAUAUUCGCAAGAACACCAGUGGCGAAGGCGGCUAACUGGUCCGGUUCUGACGCUGAGGCGCGAAAGCGUGGGGAGCAAACAGG